UCCAUAGGUUAAUGAGGCGAACCGGGGGAACUGAAACAUCUAAGUACCCCGAGGAAAAGAAAUCAACCGAGAUUCCCCCAGUAGCGGCGAGCGAACGGGGAGGAGCCCAGAGCCUGAAUCAGCAUGUGUGUUAGUGGAAGCGUCUGGAAAGGCGCGCGAUACAGGGUGACAGCCCCGUACACAAAAGCGCAUGUGCUGUGAGCUCGAUGAGUAGGGCGGGACACGUGGUAUCCUGUCUGAAUAUGGGGGGACCAUCCUCCAAGGCUAAAUACUCCUGACUGACCGAUAGUGAACCAGUACCGUGAGGGAAAGGCGAAAAGAACCCCGGCGAGGGGAGUGAAAAAGAACCUGAAACCGUGUACGUACAAGCAGUGGGAGCACCCUUCGGGGUGUGACUGCGUACCUUUUGUAUAAUGGGUCAGCGACUUAUAUUCUGUAGCAAGGUUAACCGUAUAGGGGAGCCGGAGGGAAACCGAGUCUUAACCGGGCGUUAAGUUGCAGGGUAUAGACCCGAAACCCGGUGAUCUAGCCAUGGGCAGGUUGAAGGUUGGGUAACACUAACUGGAGGACCGAACCGACUAAUGUUGAAAAAUUAGCGGAUGACCUGUGGCUGGGGGUGAAAGGCCAAUCAAACCGGGAGAUAGCUGGUUCUCCCCGAAAGCUAUUUAGGUAGCGCCUCGUGAAUUCAUCUCCGGGGGUAGAGCACUGUUUCGGCUAGGGGGCCAUCCCGGCUUACCAACCCGAUGCAAACUGCGAAUACCGGAGAAUGUUAUCACGGGAGACACACGGCGGGUGCUAACGUCCGUCGUGAAGAGGGAAACAACCCAGACCGCCAGCUAAGGUCCCAAAGUCAUGGUUAAGUGGGAAACGAUGUGGGAAGGCCCAGACAGCCAGGAUGUUGGCUUAGAAGCAGCCAUCAUUUAAAGAAAGCGUAAUAGCUCACUGGUCGAGUCGGCCUGCGCGGAAGAUGUAACGGGGCUAAACCAUGCACCGAAGCUGCGGCAGCGAACGUAUCACCCAAGACAACUUUACGGAGUUGACGAUUGACGGAGCGAAGCGACGUCAAAGCGUUCAUUAAAGUCGAGUUGGCUUAGGGAUACGUUCGUUGGGUAGGGGAGCGUUCUGUAAGCCUGUGAAGGUGUGUCGUGAGGCAUGCUGGAGGUAUCAGAAGUGCGAAUGCUGACAUAAGUAACGAUAAAGCGGGUGAAAAGCCCGCUCGCCGGAAGACCAAGGGUUCCUGUCCAACGUUAAUCGGGGCAGGGUGAGUCGACCCCUAAGGCGAGGCCGAAAGGCGUAGUCGAUGGGAAACGGGUUAAUAUUCCCGUACUUGGUGUUACUGCGAAGGGGGGACGGAGAAGGCUAUGUUGGCCGGG
rnacentral:rRNA from 1 species